GUUUCUGUAGUGUAGUGGUUAUCACGUUCGCCUAACACGCGAAAGGUCCCCGGGUCGAGACCGGGCAGAAACA
rnacentral:tRNA from 1 species